rnacentral:rRNA from 1 species
CAGUAGCCGCGGGAAUACAGAGGGUGCAAGCGUUAAUCGGAAUUACUGGGCGUAAAGCGCGCGUAGGUGGUUUGUUAAGUUGGAUGUUAAAGCCCCGGGCUCAACCUGGGAACUGCAUCCAAAACUGGCAAGCUAGAGUACGGUAGAGGGUGGUGGAAUUUCCUGUGUAGCGGUGAAAUGCGUAGAUAUAGGAAGGAACACCAGUGGCUAAGGCGACCACCUGGACUGAUACUGACACUGAGGUGCGAAAGCGUGGGGAGCAAACAGGAUUAGAUACCCCAGUAGUCCCUGUCUCUUAUAC